GCUCCGGGCCGGGCACUGGGGCCGAGCCCGGCGCUGCUGCUCCUGCUCCGACUGUGCCGAGUGCGGGCACGGGGCCCUGCCCGGGCUCGGUUCUGCUCGGGCCGCUCACCUGACACCUGCCAGGUCAUCAGAUAUCCUGAGUGGGAAGGGACACACCAGGAGCACCAGGCUGAACCCUUAUGUGAAGGGCUUAGCUGGGGAUUGAACCCACAACCUGGGCAUUUUCAGCACCCUGCUCCAACCAAGCAAUCUCAGGUAAUGGCAAUGCCCUGCCUGUGACAGGAAUGCCAAAUGCCAGCAGAGCAAUUCCUUUGCUAAUGCUGCUUUACACACCAGCCCCUGGAACGUCUGUAGGGCAGAGCUCCAUAGGCAGCACCUGACCAUGGAACAACACAGGGAGAAACGAGCAAGUCCUGAGGGCUCCCUUGCUCCAAGGCCGAAGCUCUUCUGGAGAGUGUCAGGGCCGGUCCCGCCUGCAGAGGGGC